UACGAAGGGGGCUAGCGUUGCUCGGAAUCACUGGGCGUAAAGCGCACGUAGGCGGACUCUUAAGUCGGUGGUGAAAUCCUGGAGCUCAACUCCAGAACUGCCUUUGAUACUGGGAAUCUCGAGUCCGGGAGAGGUGAGUGGAACUGCGAGUGUAGAGGUGAAAUUCGUAGAUAUUCGCAAGAACACCAGUGGCGAAGGCGACUUACUGGACACAUAUUGACGCUGAGGUGCGAAAGCGUGGGGAGCAAACAGG
rnacentral:rRNA from 1 species